GUCCCUGUCGAUUAGUGGUUAAAUCAUCACGUUGUGGUCGUCUCGCUGCAAUUCCGUGAAGCCAGCGGCUCGAAUCCGCUCAGGGACA